rnacentral:rRNA from 1 species
CCUACGGGUGGCAGCAGUGGGGAAUAUUUGGCAAUGGACGCAAGUCUGACCCAGCAACGCCGCGUGAAGGAAGAAGGCUUUCGGGUUGUAAACUUCUUUUAAGGGGGAAGAGCAGAAGACGAUACCCCUUGAAUAAGCCACGGAUAACUACGUGCCAGCAGCCGCGGUAAUACGUAGGGGGCAAGCGUUAUCCGGAUUUACUGGGUGGAAAGGGAGCGUAGACGGCAAUAAAAGUCGGAAGUGAAAUACCCGGGCUCAACCUGGGAAUUGCUUUGGAAACUGUAUGGCUGGAGUGCUGGAGAGGUAAGCGGAAUUCCUAGUGUAGCGGUGAAAUGCGUAGAUAUUAGGAGGAACACCAGUGGCGAAGGCGGCUUACUGGACAGUAACUGACGUUGAGGCUCGAAAGCGUGGGGAGCAAACAGGAUUAGAUACCCGGGUAGUC